UGUAUAUUGAGUUUGAUCCUGGCUCAGGGUGAACGCUAGUAGUAUGCUUAACACAUGCGAGUUGAACGAAGAUUUAUCUUAGUGGCAAACGGGUGAGUAAUACAUAGGAAUCUACCUUUUAGUACGGGAAAAAAUCCUGUAUAAUACAGUAAAAAACAUAAAAAGAAAUAUUUUGCUAAAAGAUGAGCCUAUGCAGGAUUAGGUAGUUGGUAAGGUUAAGGCUUACCAAGCCUGUGAUCCUUAGUUGUUUUGAGAGAUUGAACAACCACACUGGGACUGAGACAAGGCCCAGGCUUCAGUAGAGGCCAGCAGUGAGGAAUCUUGGGCAAUGAGCGAAAGCUUGACCCAGCAAUAUUACAUGAAGGAAGACUGCUCAAAAGUUGUAAACUUCAUUAAUUGAGGAGGACGAUUGACGUUACUUAAUUAACAGCCCCGGCUAACUUCGUGCCAGCAGCCGCGGUAAGACGAAGGGGGCGGGCGUUACCCAUGAUGACUGGGCGUAAAGGGUCCGUAGGCGGCUUUUUAUGUUAGAAGUAAAAUCAAAAAGCUUUACUUUUUGAGGCUUUUAAUACGUUAGAGCUCAGAGUUUGAAGGAAGAUAGUAGAAUUUCAUAUGAAGGGGUGAAAUCCGUAGAAUUAUGAAGGAAUACUAAAGGCGAAGGCAAUUAUCUAUUUCAAUCUGACGUUGAGGGACGAAAGCAUGGGGAGCAAACAGGAUUAGAUACCCUGGUAGUCCAUGCUGUCAAAGAUGAGUGCUCUUGUUUGAAUUAUAUUUUGGACAAUUAGUUAACACAUAAAGCACUCCGCCUGGGGAGUACGGCCGCAAGGACGGAACUCAAAGGAAUUGGCGGGGGCCUAUACGAGUGGUGGAGCAUGUGGUUUAAUGCGACAAUACGCGCGAAACCUUACCAGUUUUUGAUAUGGGAGCAUGUGGUUUAAUGCGACAAUACGCGCGAAACCUUACCAGUUUUUGAUAUGUAUUUUGGAUAAUCUUUAUGGAUAAUCAAAAAAAUUUAUACAGGUGCUGCAUGGCUGUCGUCAGCCCGUGUCGUAAGAUGUUAGGUUCACUCUUUUUAACGGGCGAAACCCCUGUAGUUAGUUACUAUUUGUAUGUUUUUGACUAUAAAUAGUCAAAAACAUACAAAUUAUAUAUCCUAUAUAAAGAACUUUAACUAUACUGCUUUAUUGUUUAAAUAUUUGCUAAUUGUAAACAAUUUGUUGAGUUUUUAUUACAAUAUAUAAUGAGGAAGGAGGGGAUGACGUCAAGUCUUUAUGGCCCUUAUGAACUGGGCUACACACGUGCUACAAUGGUAAAGACAAAAAGAAGCAAUGAGGUAACUUGGAGCUAAUCUUAAAAAUUUACCAAAGUUCGGAUUGUGGGCUGCAACUCGCCCACAUGAAGGUGGAAUCACUAGUAAUCACGAAUCAGAACGUCGUGGUGAAUUUGUACUUAGGCCUUGUACACACCGCCCGUCACGUGCCGGAAGUCGGUUUGGCUAAAAAAUAUUUGUUGAUUAUUGUGUUUAACUUUUUUAUUUUUUUUGUUGACAAAUUUUAAAGUUUACUUUAAUUUGCAUAAUUUAUAGUCGGGUUGAUAACUGGGAUGAAGUCGUAACAAGGUAGUCGUACGGGAACGUGUGGCUGGAA
rnacentral:rRNA from 1 species